rnacentral:lncRNA from 1 species
UGACUGUCAGGGUCUGCAAGUACCCAGGGCAUGCUAGACAAGAGCUGUAUGGCAGGUCACAUGCAGAGCAGGAAAUCAGACUGAGACCCAGAGCUCUCUGAACCCUGUGUCUCCCAAGUGUGCGUGUGGGUGUGUGUUUGUGUGUGCGCAUGCAUGUGCAUGUGCCCGUCCAGUAAACUAUGGUCCACGGUGCCCAGUGGCCAGUAGGGGGCGAAACUGAAAGAUCAAGACUCGACCCAAGUCUCUUGUCUCUUUUCCUGCUGCCCUGGGAGCUGCUAAGUGUCACAGCCAGGCAACUGUUGUAGACUCCCCUGCCAAACCAUGGCCUUUCCUCAACAUCACCAGGCCUGUGCCAAGGAGAAGGGAGAGGCCAGAGGCUGCUUUCAGAUGCCCAGCCACACACCUAGAAAUCUAGCCAGCAGCUGCAGACGUUUGGGAAGAUGAGGACAUGUUCACAGACCCACCAGGUCCUGUGUCCUAUGGACUGCACCUGACUCCAGCAGAAUUGCUUCUCUGUCUCCAGGCUCCAGUACCAGGCCAGCCUCCUCACUCCCAAGCCAUAGUCUUACUCCCAUGGGAAAGGAGGUCUUCUCUCUGUCCUAGGAGAGGACAGCUGAUUUCUGUUCUUUUAACUCUUAAAGUUCUCUUUAUAAAC